rnacentral:rRNA from 1 species
AUUGAACGCUGGCGGCAGGCUUAACACAUGCAAGUCGAGCGGGGGAAGGUAGCUUGCUACCGGACCUAGCGGCGGACGGGUGAGUGAUGCUUAGGAAUCUGCCUAUUAGUGGGGGACAACAUCUCGAAAGGGAUGCUAAUACCGCAUACGUCCUACGGGAGAAAGCAGGGGAUCUUCGGACCUUGCGCUAAUAGAUGAGCCUAAGUCGGAUUAGCUAGUUGGUGGGGUAAAGGCCUACCAAGGCGACGAUCUGUAGCGGGUCUGAGAGGAUGAUCCGACACGCUGGGACUGAGACACGGACGAGACUCCUACGGGAGGCAGCAGUGGGGAGUAUUGGACAAUGGGGGGAACCCCGAUCCAGCCAUGCCGCGUGUGUGAAGAAGGCCUUAUGGUUGUAAAGCACUUUAAGCGAGGAGGAGGCUACUUUAGUUAAUACCUAGAGAUAGUGGACGUUACUCGCAGAAUAAGCACCGGCUAACUCUGCGCCAGCCGCCGCAGUAA